AUGCAAUGACUCCAUGAAAAGAACAAAGGAAUGAAACGUGAAUCAGCCAUUUGUGUAACAUUGCUCGGCUGCAGAGAGCAGUGCUCACAUAGACAUUUGGCAUUGAUGGCUGUUAAAUUUUUUAUUUCCUUCUCUAGCCUCUUCCUUUUGGUGGUCCAAACUCAAACCUUACACAGCUAUAUAACUUCAAUCCCUCAUCCUUUUCCAAAUUACUUCUGGCUGUCAUAAGAAUUUAGUCUCACCAUAGCCAGUCACAGCAACAUGCUUCAUUAGAUACCACGGUCAAGAGGUUCUCAGGCCAAAAAAUCCCGACUGAUUAAUAAAAACUCAGGCAAGUUUCUACUCUCUGUGUUUCACUAUCAUCAUCCUCUUACUGCUUAUUGUGAUGAGAAACAAUAGCACAUACAAACAUCUAAACAUUUGUUGUCUUACUAAAUGGUCCAACAAGGAGUUUGAAUUCUCAUUUACUUUAAAAAAUUAAGGAAGCAAAAGUUCCUAAUUUAUUUAAUCCCAUUGGCUAUAUCCUUAAUGAAAAGAAAAAAAAAACCAUUAUUUAUCUGAGCAGCAUACGUGAAAUUGUUUCAGGAAUCAAAAGUUUACUGUAAUUAUGCAACUGGGCUUCUAAUAUCAUACAACCUCAACUACUAUCUCAUGUUGCACCAUUUAACUGGUUACCAACAAAAAGCAACAAAAACGAAAGAGAGGAGAUAGAGUAGAGCACCCGCAAUAUUUCCCUGGACUUUGAAAAUGCCGUGGAACUAGUAAAAAUAGGGCUUAAUUCUAUCAGAAAAGGCCAAAACAUCUAAGAUCAAAAUAAUGUACCAAUUAGUGGGACGGAAAUCAAUUUAAUGUCACCAUCAAGACAUGGUCAAUCAAACUUGCAUUUGCGGAAGCAUCGCCUGCAGGCUGAUACAACUGCAUACACGAAUCCUAUCACAGCAAGAAGCAACACAGUCAUAGAGAAAUAGAAUAAAAUUGCCAGGCGGUAUCUGAUAAUCCAUGGUAAAUUUACUUCAAGAAAGCAAUGACUUUUAUGCCUUCCUAAUUUAAUGGAUGUCACAGGGUUCAUGCUAAGUGAUUGCAGCUCCAACAAUGGAAAUUUUACACCAGUGACAGGGUAUCCAUUCGUGUCCCUCACUUCAAGCUUCAAGGUUACAGGAGUUGCACUCCAGUCUAUUUCAAUUGCUCCAAAAUUGGGCAGGCCAUAUGUACAUGACCUGAAUCUGCAGUUUUGGUUCAUUACUCUCAUUGUAGUUGGUGUCAACCAAGCCACAAAUCUCACUAUUAAAUUCAAUGGCCGCCGGACUGCCUUCUCAACAGCUUGGGUAAGUCCACUUGAGGUCACGUCAUACAGUGGAUAUCCAGUAGCGCAGUCAUAUCGAGAGAUUUCUCCAAAAUGAACGUCCCCACUAAUGAAAAAGAUACCUUCUCUCUUACUAUCUAGUAUCAAUUUAAAUAGGCGAUUCCUCUCCUUUGGGAAACGUCCCCAAGACUCCAAAUAAAACAAUGGACCAGUGGUUGCUGAAAGAUUUGAUAUAACCUGAAUUGUGAGGGAAGAAAUAAGAGCAUAAUUAACCCAUAAUAACAGAAUAAAAAGACCUACCUAGUGAGAAACCGUAAAUGUAUAUACAAAAAUGUCAAAAGAAUUCAGGAUGGAGAACGUGGUAGUUAAAUUAAGAAUGUAAUAUUAGGCAUCAGUUGUCAGAUAUAAAUGACCUUCUGAUCUCCAAUCAUUCCUUGUACACCAAAGAAGGCCAGCCAUAAUGCAAUGAACAUACACCAAAACUGCUUCCAUAUGCAGAAGCAGAAAGCAACAUCUGCAAGCUCUUUAAAACAUUGACUUGAAAACAAGCUCAUUAAGACUCUUUCUUGACCACAUACCAUAAUUUCCAUAAAUUUUGUGUAAAAAUGACCAUUAUAACAUGUUAUGCAACCAUUGCAGGGUUCUGGAAGGGUGAUAAGAGUCCAAACCACCAGCAAAAAAAUUCUUAAUAUACUGUAGCAAAGAGACUCCCAUAGCUCAUGGACGAAACAGAUCAUGCAAUUGGACCCCUUUUGGGUCAGUACAUUGAAUGACAAACUGCUCAACUCAACACAAAAAAGUUGAGACAAUUAAAUGUGGAAAGCCAGAUGAAACGAUGAAUCAAUUAACCUAAGAUCAUACUCUUGCAGAUAAUGUCAAGACUGGAUCAUGAAGGCUACUGGAAUAACAAUUGGUUAAACCAGAUUAUUAUUUUUAAUCCAUUAGUCUUAAUUGAUUCAAGGAAAUCAAAGCAUAGGAAAAACAUGUGCUAGAUUAUUCAAUAGAGAAUGGUACCACGUGCAAAUAUGUGUAUGAAUAUGUGCAUUUGUGCAAGCAUUAAAGCUUGCUUGUAUGUGCAUAAACCUGAUUAGCGGUCAAAGAUAAAAUUACAUAAUACCUGAACAGAAGAUCCAAUUAUGGUGAUGGCUGUUUUGGGUCCAUUCAACUCUUUUUCUAGCCAUGUCCACUGAGAACUUCCCAGGAAACUUCCAUCACUACGCAAAGGGUCUCUGUGGUAUCUUGUAUCUAAGAGAAUAACCUUAAUUUGUCUGUUUGUAGGGCCAAAAGUAUAAGAUGCAUAUACACCUUCCUGUUUGCGCCGAGGACUGUCGUGAGGUUCAUCUAAGAAAUUGAGUAGUAGUCUCUGGUUGUUGACUUUCUCAGUAAAUUCUUUUCCAGCAUCAUUUAAUCCAUAAUCAUGGUCAUCCCAGGUGCCAAUU
rnacentral:misc_RNA from 1 species